UCCGUAGGCGGAAUAAUAAGUCAGUGGUGAAAGUCUGCAGCUCAACUGUAGAAUUGCCAUUGAUACUGUUGUUCUUGAAUUAUUAUGAAGUGGUUGGAAUGAGUAGUGUAGCGGUGAAAUGCAUAGAUAUUACUCAGAACACCUAUUGCGAAGGCAGAUCACUAAUAAUAUAUUGACGCUGGAGGGACGAAAGCGUAGGUAGCGAACA
rnacentral:rRNA from 1 species